rnacentral:rRNA from 1 species
UACAUAGGUGGCAAGCGUUGUCCGGAAUUAUUGGGCGUAAAGCGCGCGCAGGCGGUCCUUUAAGUCUGAUGUGAAAGCCCACGGCUCAACCGUGGAGGGUCAUUGGAAACUGGGGGACUUGAGUGCAGAAGAGGAGAGUGGAAUUCCACGUGUAGCGGUGAAAUGCGUAGAGAUGUGGAGGAACACCAGUGGCGAAGGCGACUCUCUGGUCUGUAACUGACGCUGAGGCGCGAAAGCGUGGGGAGCGAACAGG